GCCUGCGUGGUGAAACUGGUAGACGCAAUGGACUCAAAAUCCAUCGGGAGAUGAUCUCGUGCCGGUUCAAGUCCGGCCGCAGGCACCA
rnacentral:tRNA from 1 species